rnacentral:lncRNA from 1 species
GGUCUUCUGAGUUUCUUUCCGGAUUCCCCUUUGAACUCUUCUUCAGAUCUUCUAGACUUUGCUCUACUCCCAUGCUGGUCACUCAGCUGCUACCUACCCACAGCACAAUGCCAUCGUCCAGCUUCCCCCACCUCACCAGACACCCUGGCACUGAAAGAAGACUGCCUCCAUCUUGGCUCAACAGUCUCACCAUAUUAGGUGAGGGAAGCUCCCAGAUCAGAUCUUCAGCAGCCAGGUACCAAAAUCCCAACCUUCCCUCCUCUUUAGCAUUGUUUGCCCAACACAGGUGUGCAGUGCGACCAGGGAGCUUCCCACGGGAGUCCCUGUGUGAGAGGUUCCUCAAUUGAGAACUGCUAAAGGAGACAGGAUGAAAGUUUGGAGGCUAAGAGAGAGACCAGGAACUGGGGAAUCUCCAGGCAAGAUAGGGAGAUAGUACCAGGUGCUCAAGUCAUAGAAGUGACCCCCAAAAAGAGACUCAUGAGGUGCAGUCUCCCUGCAGGGACUGGCAGAUGCUACUCCCUGCUUCCAGAAUCCCUGCACCAGGACCAAUCUUUUCACCCUGGUUACCUCCACCCUCCUGAGUGCAGAGACACCAGCUUACAACAGACAACCCCUUCUAUUGGAUGAGAAGAGAAGCAGGAGAGGUACAUAUUUCUUGGCUUUGCCAUUCCUUUGGUUUUUUUUUUUGAUAUUUUUUUGUCCUCUUCUACUCCUCUAUUCUCCAGCCCUCACAUCCACAACAUAUGUGGAAAGCCGAGCUUUGCCUGAAAUAGGACUUAGAGGACUGAGUCAUCUGAAUAAUAUAGUAUAGAGUUGUUGUAUCUGCUAUUUUUUCCUUUUUCUUUUUCUUUUUUUGUUUUUCUUUGCCUUUCCAUGGUUUGCAAUUUUAACAUGUGCAUUUUUCUAAAUAUAUAUGUGUGUUGGUGUUAUGUACACUACUGUCUUCCCAAGUACUUGUC